rnacentral:rRNA from 1 species
UAGGGAAUCUUGCGCAAUGGGCGAAAGCCUGACGCAGCGACGCCGCGUGCGGGAAGAAGGCCUUCGGGUUGUAAACCGCUUUCAGGAGGGACGAAGCCACUCGGGUUAAUAGCCCAGAGGGUGACGGUACCUCCAGAAGAAGCCCCGGCUAACUACGUGCCAGCAGCCGCGGUAAUACGUAGGGGGCGAGCGUUGUCCGGAUUUAUUGGGCGUAAAGAGCGUGUAGGCGGCCAGGUAGGUCCGUUGUGAAAACUCGAGGCUCAACCUCGAGACGUCGAUGGAAACCAUCUGGCUAGAGUCCGGAAGAGGAGAGUGGAAUUCCUGGUGUAGCGGUGAAAUGCGCAGAUAUCAGGAAGAACACCUAUGGCGAAGGCAGCUCUCUGGGACGGUACUGACGCUGAGACGCGAAAGCGUGGGGAGCGAACAGG